GUGCAAUGACGCGCUGCACAUCAAACUACUGAGCCACGCUGUGGACUUAUCGACUCCCGAGUGAUGCAAAGCUUUGGUCAGCGACUGCAUUUGGCGAUUGGUUUGGCAUGACUCACCUUUCUGUCCAGACCAGCCAUCAGACCCGGGAUCUCCCAGAUACCCAGCGGGUCCUCUUGGUCCUGGUGGGCCUGGAACACCUGGAAGACCAGGGAGACCCGGUGCACCCACAUGACCAUAACCAGAUACAGAUGGGCUUCAAAUGUGCCUGACAACCUGGAGGUCCAAUCCCUCCAAUUCCGCCAUCAUCUCCUCGAAUGCCUUUAGGGCCUGGAAGUCCUGGAACUCCAUGGAUUCCAUUCCUUCCUGGCUCACCUGGAAUCCCUAUACAAGUCCAAAUGAAUAAAAACAAAUGAUUGCAACAGGAGCUAAUAACGGUUUUAAUGAUGUUGGUCGUUGCUGCAUCAAGAGUAGGCAGGUUUUACCUGGUAAACCUGGCUCUCCAUUAGGACCAGGCGGUCCAGUCACAUUCGUAAGACAACAUAGCUCAUGCUCACCUGAUGGCACAGUGACUACAUGAAGUACAGAUGCUUGCUUAUAAGUGAGGAAGAGAUAUGAAAAUAGGAACCUGGAGGGCCCUUUCGCCCUGGAUUUCCUUUGGGGCCUGGAUACCCCUGGUCUCCUGUCAGCCCAGGUGGACCCUGGGGACCUUGAAAACCAGGACCUGGGAGCCCAACUUGUCCUGGAAGCCCUUUAGGACCAAAUCUACCCGGGUCUCCUUUAGGACCAGGUAACCCCUUGUAGCCAGCCCCCUGCAAAUGUGAAUAAUCAGGUCCAGUUAGUGGUGUUUGAAUUAAUUGCCAACUAAGUGUUUUUGAUAUACAUCUCCAAGUCAUACACAGUUUAUAAUAAUACAAAUGCAACACUUACUGGUGGCCCGGGGUCUCCUAUCAGACCAGGGGGACCAUCUAGUCCUGGUAUGCCUAAUUUUCCUGGAGGACCAGAACAUCCAGGGUUUCCCCGGUCUCCCUUUGCUCCUUCAAAUAAUAAAAUGAGCUCCAAUUGUUAUUAUUGUUGUCUAAAAUGGUGUAAAACAGUGGUUCUCAAACUUUUUUCACCAAGUACCAGUGUAGAAAAAACUUGACUCUCCAAGUACCACCAUAAUGACAACAUGAAAAUACAGUAGUGUAGUAGACCUAAGUAUUCAUUUAGUACCACCACAAUAACAACAUGAAAAUACAGUAGUGUAGUAGACCUAAGUAUUCAUUAAGUACCACCACAAUGACAACAUGAAAAUACAGUAGUGUAGUAGACCUAAGUAUUCAUUAAGUACCACCAUAAUGACAACAUGAAAAUACAGUACUGUAGUAGACCUAAGUAUUCAUUAAGUACCACCAUAAUGACAACAUGAAAAUACAGUAGUGUAGUAGACCUAAGUAUUCAUUAAGUACCACCACAAUAACAACAUGAAAAUACAGUAGUGUAGUAGACCUAAGUAUUCAUUAAGUACCACCAUAAUGAUAACAUUAAAUACAGUAAAUGGUAAAUGGUAAAUGGGUUAUACGUAUAGCGCUUUUCUACCUUCAAGGUACUCAAAGUCCUUUGACACUAUUUCCACAUUCACCCAUUCACACACACAUUCACACACUGAUGGCGGGAGCUGCCAUGCAAGGCAUUAAUCACGACCCAUCAGGAGCAAGGGUGAAGUGUCUUGCUCAAGGACACAGCGGUCAUGACUAAGUUGGUAGAAGCUGGGGAUCGAACCAGGAACCCUCAGGUUGCUGGCACGGCCACUCUCCCAACUGCACCACGUCGUGUAGUAG